rnacentral:lncRNA from 1 species
CGGCGUCGCCGAGAGAGAAGCGAGUGUUUUAAAGUAGAGCAACAUUCCCGUGUCGUUUUGAAGCCUGACGCUCCAGCGCUCGUGUGUGCCUCCUUCCCUGGAGCCGCUCGCCCGGUCCUGCAGCAAAUCCUGAAGUAUUCCAUAUAGAAUGAACGUUUGAGCUAAUUCCCUUCGCAGUCAAGAUUAAAUGUUAGCGAUGACUGAAGAUAAAAUGGCCUGUGGAGAUUCAUAGCCUUGGUAAGCAUGCAUUCAUAGCACUGGUAAGUGCAAAGCAAACAGAUGAUCUUCACUGUGCUAGAUCUUUGUUUUUCAUUACAACAGAAAAAUUAAAAUGAUUUGGCCUCAAGCCUUCAAUUGCUCUGUUGGUUUAUUAAAUAUACAGUGGAAGAGUCAGUAAUGACUAGUAUUGCUUGUAUACCUUGUCUGUUCGUUCUUUAUAGAUAGAAUAUUCAUUACCAUGUUUAAGAGGCUUGGAUUUUAUUGACUUUUCUUUCUAAGAAUCUCUUUCAUUCUCAUAAUUGCUUUCAAGAGCAUUUUUCUGUUUUUUUUUUUCACCCCCAUUAAUCACUGAAUCAUCUUUUUAUAUAAUAAGCAGUAAUUGAAGCUGCAAUCCAGUCAACUCAGUGCUAACAGCUGGCAUCUUCCAAAUUAUUAGGGAUACUAAAGGUGUUUACUGAAGUGAGGGACCUUAACUUAUUACUUAAAUAGAAUUGCAUACUUUAUUACCUUGAGAUUAAUUUGAUUUCACUCAAUAG